UGGGGAAUAUUGCACAAUGGGCGCAAGCCUGAUGCAGCAACGCCGCGUGAGGGAUGACGGCCUUCGGGUCGUAAAACCUCUUUUAGUAGGGAAGAAGCGAAAGUGACGGUACCUGCAGAAAAAGCACCGGCUAGCUACGUGCCAGCAGCCGCGGUAAUACGUAGGGUGCGAGCGUUGUCCGGAAUUAUUGGGCGUAAAGAGCUCGUAGGCGGUCUGUCGCGUCUGCUGUGAAAACCCGAGGCUCAACCUCGGGCCUGCAGUGGGUACGGGCAGACUAGAGUGCGGUAGGGGAGAAUGGAAUUCCUGGUGUAGCGGUGGAAUGCGCAGAUAUCAGGAGGAACACCGAUGGCGAAGGCAGUUCUCUGGGCCGUAACUGACGCUGAGGAGCGAAAGCGUGGGGAGCGAACAGGAUUAGAUACCCUGGUAGUCCACGCCGUAAACGUUGGGCGCUAGAUGUGGGGACCAUUCCACGGUUUCCGUGUCGCAGCUAACGCAUUAAGCGCCCCGCC
rnacentral:rRNA from 1 species